CUUGGAUGAAGGCUGCUUUAAGAGAAGGGGUGUUCCACAGCUGUGAGACCCUCAUUGCUAGCUGGUACAAAUCAGAAUUUGCAUCACAAGGAAAAUAGGUGUACACCGUUGGCGGGAGUUCGUGUUCAUCUGACAACUGCAGUACUUGGCAGACAAGUGCAGUAAACUUGGUGGCAAGCAGCAGAGAAAAUAUCCUGCAAUGUUCUGCUGGAAGAAGCAAAAUAGAACGGAAUCAAUCAUCUUUUCAAUGAGAGUUUGAGUGAGAAAGCAGCAAGUUAUCAGACAUAGGGACAGAAGGGGAAGAUGAAGAUAGCCUUCUUGCUCCAUAAGAAGAGGGAGGUGAAGCGGCAAAGAAGACAGGAAGGCUGAUUCAGGAAGAUAACACAGCAGUUUACAACAUGGAGGACAAGAAAUCCUUGAAGGUAAGAAGUAGUUCUUGCAUGACCAGUGGCUAUCACCAUACAUCCGCUACUGCACAGUUGAAAGAAAUGCUGUGAAAUACAACAGUUGACUGGAUCUAAUCUGGACUGUGAUCCCCUAUACCAGGAAGCCAAAUUAUUGUGCUUGCCUGUCCUUGGAAGCAGUGGUAGAUCUUUUGGCCCACGAGCUGCUUCAUAUUCCACCAGCAUCUCAAAAUAUACAGGAGACAUUAAAAAAAAGAUAAUAUCUACAUGUUUGGCUACCAGAACUCCAGUUUGCAUUGGAUCGCUCUUGGAAUCACAAGCUUUGCAUUUGGAAGUACUACAUAAUGAGAUAUAUCCUUUGUAUGUAAUAUACUUAUCUCAUGUGGCCAUUCAUCUGUCUCCUCAAAGUGAUUAAAAGCACGAAAAAGCGCAGAGAAGCACAGGAAAGCUUGUCUCUACAGUCAGGCAACGAUGAAGACAUGAAGAUGUAUAACUGUCCCACGUGUGAGAACAGCACAGUUUACCCCCUCAGGAUUUGUAACAGGCUUGCCUGAAGGAGAGUGAAAAUAGGCGAGUACUUGCUGAAUGGAAACAUUAGCCAAAGAUUGCCAUAGAUCUGAAGGCAAUGAAGGAAAAAAUGAACAGUCAUGGUCUACAGACAUAGGGAACAAAGUACUCCAAACGUGGCUUAGGUUCAAAGAAGUGGAAAUUGAAGAAAUGCAUUGGCAUUUUGGCUUGCUGAAUAAGCUUUAGAUGGAAAUUAGUCUGGAAAGUAUUUUGUGGGAGGGGUUUAAUUGUACAGUUCAAUAACCUCAGCAACAUUUUUAUUAAAGCAUUCUUACAUAAGCCGUUAAGCUUUAGGUUAAUUUUUACUGCUAUUUUCUGGUUAUAUUUAAUGACAGAGAUUGGAAAUACACUGAAGACUAUGCUUUACCUUGUUAGAACUUUGGAAUGAAUUACAUGUGUGAUGCAGUUUUGGAAUUACUUUUGCUGCUAAUUUUGCAGCCGGAAGGGUUGUGUUAAUAUGUUACAUAUAUGAAUACAUAUAUGAAAAUACAUGAAUACAUAUAUGAAAAGCAUGGUUUUUCUUUUUUCAUUAAUUUCACUUUUGGCAAUAGCUAGUGCCAAGGGGAAUAGUUUGACUUUUGUGUAUAACUUUUAUCAAAAAGAAAACUGUGAUUUUUUUUUCUUUUCCACAUUGUCUUCCCUUCCUUUGCCAUCUGAUAUCUUUUUACCUCUGCUUAAACGUAGUUUAAAGGUGUGGGAGUGACCUUUAUCUAUAGUGAUUUAUAUUCUUUCAUGCAAUCUGAGCAUAUUUUACGUAAUAUAUGCACAAAGAUGGUGUUGUUUCUUGGGCAAAUAUCUGGUACAGUAAGUCACGAUUUACCCACAUAUGAACAUUUAGGUAAGAAUUUCACCUGAAUUUAAUGUUUGCUCUGCCAGUCACCAAGAGAUAACAUAUUUUGUGUGUGUUUUAGCAUUGGGGCGUAUAGCAGCAUCAACCUCUGCUGCCACACCUUAAUUCUAUUUAAUGCACGUACAGAAUUGCUUUGAUGCAAAAAACUGACAAAAUCCUAUUUUGAUCUACUUUACAGGUCUAUAACAAAAGUUUGUCUCUAAUCAAAAAGCCUGUCAUGAUAAUAGGAUACAUUUUGUUUUGUCUUGCUCAGAGCUAGCAAGCUAUCCUUAAUUAUUAAUCUUGAAUUGCUAGUACUUAUUAUUAUUUUUUAUUUCACAAUAACUUGAGGACAUUUCUGUUGUUGAGGGAUACAAAUACCAUAAAAUGUUGGAGUGUUUGCUAAAUCUUAUGCUGAUCUUCUGAGAGUUCUUGGAGUCAGUGAAGGAUUUUGUAGGAAUCUGAGCAGGCCUAGACUAAACUACAUGUUUUGGAAAUGGAUUUAAAAAUAUGUCUGCAGAUAAUGUCUUUCCAGACCAAACUUAACGAUGAAUUUUUGAUAAGCGUUAUAUCAUGUGAAAUAUUAUAGGGAAUGAAAACACAUCACAGAAGAUAUCAUGAAUCUGAGCAGAAAUUUUAUUUUUUUCUUGUUGCCAAUGAAAAAAUUGCAACAGUUCAGGUGGAGACAUAAGAAAAUGGCAUCCAGUCAAAGGUGGUGUCCAGUCAGAGCAGACCUCUCUCCAUAGUUCCAUUGUCAUCCUGAGCUUACAAAUGAUGCUGUCCCUUCUGGUUCUGAAGAGAUUCCAUUUAUUGGCCCUGGAGACUGACAAGGAACCGACACCUGUGCCCAAAUGUUUUCUGAACCUUGGCAGCAACAGGCGUGUUCAUUAUGCAGCAGUUGUAGUUCCAAGUGCGCUCAAGGCAUGGUAGAGCAGCAGCCUUCUCCCUUGAAAGGAAAAACAGGUUAAGCAGCAAAACAGCCAGUGCAGUGGAAUCCCUAACAUGUCCCAUCUUCAAGAAAACUGGUGCUUCUGUGACUGUGCGUCACAAGUGCAAGCUGCAAUUUAUGGUCCUGCGUGUGCAUCCCAGGCUCUCUGACCUGCCUUCCUCUGCCAGCUGUUGUGUGGCUGCUCACUCCUUACAAGCCUGCACGCAGAUCAGCAGAAUCUGUGGAGCCAGACUCUGAAUGAGCAUCAUCUCCAGUGAUCCAGAAGGCUUCACAGCAAGCAGGAGAAGUCUUGCUCCUUGUCACUGUGAUGAGAGAUACAGGAAGCAGCUAUCCUGUUGCAUUAGAGCUUUUUGAAAAAGUUUUAAGUUCCCCAUCAGCUUUUAACAUCAAUCAACAAAUUCAUUCUUUCCCAGAUGAAUAAUGAACCCCUGAUCACUGUCAGGGUAAGUACCUAGAACAGGUAAAUUAAAAUGGUAACACAAUUAACCUAAUUUUUUCCAUGUGUAUAGCUCUAUCAGUUCUGCCCUAGGGCAGGAGCUCAAGCUGUCUGAUAUCCACUUGUUAUGUAAGGAGACCCUUCCAGACCCUGGCCUUCCCUACCUGUGUGUGUGACAGCUCUGUGUGUUAAGCUUGUAAUUCAGAAAGAUGAUCCCUUUUUUUCCAUACAGCCAGAAUUAUGGGCUUGACAUCACAAUGAAGAUAAUAAGAACUGACUGUCCUAAAUUGGACUUGUAUUCUUAGUGCUUUUUUGGCAACAUCAUUCCCAUCCCACAGAAAGAGACUACAUUCCAUUUCUGGUUACUCAGCGUCAGUAUUGGGGAGGAUGUGUCCCAAGUGCAGCGGCCUCCCAGACAUCUACAGUGAUGCAAUGAUGAACACAACUGUCUGGACACUCUCUCCCCAGUAAUCCCUGUGCCCUGGUCCCCCAGUAGGUGGCUGGAUGCAUCCGUUUUUUCCCCGGAGAUGGAAGCUUUUGUUUGUAUGCAAACCCUGCUCCCUCUGCAGCUUGGUGGGGGCAUUCUUUGAAAAUAAAACAAGCUGGAAAGUACCAUUACAACAUGUCAGCCCUGAGGGUUCUUCAGCACCUUUAUCC